rnacentral:rRNA from 1 species
UACGUAGGGACCAAGCGUUGUUCGGAUUUACUGGGCGUAAAGAGCGUGUAGGCGGCCAAGCAGGUCCGCUGUGAAAACUCGAGGCUCAACCUCGAGAGGUCGGUGGAAACCGUUUGGCUAGAGUCCGGAAGAGGAGAGUGGAAUUCCCGGUGUAGCGGCGAAAUGCGCAGAUAUCGGGAAGAACACCCGUGGCGAAGGCGGCUCUCUGGGACGGUACUGACGCUGAGACGCGAAAGCGUGGGGAGCGAACAGG